GCUGGUGUAGCUCAGUCGGAAGAGCAAUCGCCUUGUAAGCGCUCUUGUUGCAGGUUCAAAUCCUGUCACCAGCCCCA
rnacentral:tRNA from 1 species